UGAAUCCCAGCUGAUUAGCUGUCAAAAUAUUAUUAUUUUCAAUGAAAAAUUCUAACCUGUUUUUAACAAGAUGCUCAGCUAUUUUAGCAAGAACAGAGGAUAGGGCUAUUGGGCGAAAAGAAGAAACAUCAGAGGCUGGUUUGUUUGGUUUUAAUAUGGGAAUUAUAGCUUGGGUUUUCCAAGAAGAAGGAAUAUUACCAGACAACACAGUGGCAUUAAUAAUACUCAAAUAGUAGUUCAAGGAAGCGACACUGCUGUUUAUUAAGAAAGAGUAAGUAAUGCCGUCUUCGCCUGGGGAUGAAUCUUUUACAUAAGAUAAAACCCCUUCUAGUUCAGACAAAGAAAAGGGAGCAUUGAGGUCUGUAUAACUACAAGCUUUAGAGGAAAAAGUACAACACUGGACAUUAUUAAAGUCAGGAACUGAUGGAGGAGCCAACUUAUCCAUAAAUUGGUCGGCUAGCUCAAUAGGUAAUGCACCAGAUGGAGAUUCAUAGAAAGCUGAUUUAAACCUUCUAAUAUUUCUCCAAACUACCGAUGGACAAAUAUCAGGACUUAUGGACUCGCAAAAUCGUUUCCAACCCUCAAAUUUCUUCUUUUUGAGGAGCUUACGAGUUGUAGAAACUGUUUGAGAAUAAUUUUCAAAAUUAUCCAUAGUCAUCAUGGAACAAUAUUUUUUCUCAGCCUCUUUCCGUUGCUUAAUGGCAAUUGUGCAUUCAUGAUCCCACCAAGGGGGAAAUGGAAUUUUACCUUGUCUAUUACCUCGUUGUGGGAAUAAAGUGUUAGCAGCAUCAAUAAGAAUUUUACUAAAUGCAUCUGCACAUAUUGUUUCAUUACCACCUUUAACCGUAGGAAGGCUAGAUAUUUUUGAAUCAACAUAAUGUUUAAAUGUAGUCCAGUCAUCUGGCAGCUUAUGUUUUAAUUUAGAACUGUAUUGUAGGUUAGAAGGAGGGCAAGAGAUAGGUAAAGUAAGAACAAGUGGUAAGUGAUCACUGCCAUAAGAAUGAUCAAGUACACUCCAGGAUAUCAGAGAGGCCAUACUUGGAGAGCAAAGAGAUAGGUCAGGAGCACUAAGGCAUUCACCAGGACCAGUACGUCGAGUUGGAGUGCCAUUGUUCAAAAUACAUAUAUUUUGAGAGUCUAAAAUAUCUGCCAUCAAUUCACCAUAAUAAUUAGAACUAGUACUACCCCAUGACUGAUUUUGACAAUUGAAAUCCCCAAGUACUAAAAAUGGACUAGGUAAAGUAAUUGUGGAGGAGAGGUAGCAGCUACAUCAGCAUAAGACUUUGAUGUAGAAGGGGGAUGGACUUUAGCCGCCUCUGCAUAUGAUAUGCAGCUCUGGGCCAUUGAAAUUUUGAUUUUCUGCUGUCUAGAAAAUUCUGGACACAACUUACUAGUCGUAAAGUGGCGACCUGUGCAAUGAAGACAACGAGCAUUAUCAGAGACAACGGCACAAGUGUCUGAGGGGUGUUCAUCCCCACAUUUAAAGCAACGGGGCUUGGAUCUGCAUUGAAUUUUAGUGUGGCCAAAUUUGCAACAAUUGUAGCACUGGAUGGUUGGGAAAAUAUAUAAUUCAACAGGGAGUGCUGUAUAACACAUGUAAACCCUUUUUGGUAAAAUUUGACCAUCAAACGUCAAUACAACCAUGUUUGUAUUUGAAAAUGAAGCUGUACCAUCAGUAA